rnacentral:rRNA from 1 species
AAUAUUGCGCACUGGAGGGAACUCUGACGCAGCGACGCCGCGUGCGCGAUGAAGGUUUUCGGCUCGUAACGCUCUGUCCUUGGGGAAGAAGGCGGCCAUCUUUGGCCACUUGACGGUCCCCACGGCUGCAGCCCCGGCUAACUACGUGCCAGCAGCCGCGGUAAUACGUAGGGGGCAAGCGUUGUCCGGAAUUAUGGGGCGUAAAGGGUGCGUAGGCGGCCUUUUAAGUCAGAUGUGAAAGACGACGGCUUAACCGUGGGGUUGCAUUGGAAACUGGAGGGCUGGAGUAUCGGAGAGGGUAGUGGAAUUCCCAGUGUAGCGGUGGAAUGCGUAGAUAUUGGGAGGAACACCAGUGGCGAAGGCGACUACCUGGACGAAAACUGACGCUGAGGCACGAAAGCUAGGGGAGCAAACA